GGUGGGGAGGAAGAACCCAUUCCCCUAGGGAGGCCUCAAAGGUCUAGUAGGUUCAUACGUCACAACAGAUGAGAAGAUGUGAAGCUGUAGCCAGUUUCCAUGGUGCCUGACAACACUUGGCAAUCCACAGCUGGGGAGUCUUGGACAGCCAGGGGGGCCCAGGGCCUUAUCUCACCCGGGCCACCCUCCAAGGCCUCUGGCCUCUCUGGGCCCCCAGAGUGAGAGACCACAGCCUGGACUGCAAGGACCAGAUAACCACGUACGGUCCCCUUCGAUUCCCGGUGUGUUUACACCUGCUGUGGUCCCCACAUCCUGGAAAGGACCAACCACACCCAGACAGGUUGGGACGCUUCCAGGCGGGACGAGGAGAGGAGAGACAUGCGCCUUACCUGUUCCUGGGAGUUCAUCACUCGCAACUUCAUCUGCUUCAGACACUUCCUCUUGGUUCCGUGGCAGAGGGUUCUGACACCGCUGCACGUUGGCGCUUUCGCACAGACGACUGGCACGGCGAGGGGACUGAAGUCGGUUUCAGCGUCCGUUAGUCCUCUUCUUGCUGCCCCACCCUCAACCCAGACUUGACCUCUUUAAGCCCAGGAGCACAUUGGGAACUCCCUCCCCCACAAAGCGACGGGGUUGGAGGCCGUAUGUGAGGCAGACAUUUGAGCAACCACACUGAGAGGGCGUCACUCAAAAGAUCCAUGGUUCCUGUUUUCUGAUCCUGGGUCUCCAGACAGAGAACUCUGCCAUUUCCGUUUCAUUUCCUCAGAGACAUGGUUGUCUGGUGAGAAGCUGUCAGACAACAUGGUGCAUGAGCAGGGCCACCCUCGUCCUGGAGAUCACUGGUCAAGGCCGCAAAUGAAGAAUUCAUGGAGUGUCAUGGCAGCUCUCCGUGUUUGGCCA